AUACGUAGGGGGCGAGCGUUGUCCGGAAUGAUUGGGCGUAAAGGGCGCGUAGGCGGCCCGGUAAGUCUGGAGUGAAAGUCCUGCUUUUGAGGUGGGAAUUGCUUUGGAUACUGUCGGGCUUGAGUGCAGGAGAGGUAAGUGGAAUUCCCAGUGGAGCGGUGAAAUGCGUAGAGAUUGGGAGGAACACCAGUGGCGAAGGCGACUUACUGGACUGUAACUGACGCUGAGGCGCGAAAGUGUGGGGAGCAAACAGGAUUAGAUACCCUGGUAGUCCACACUGUAAACGAUGAAUGCUAGGUGUAGGGGGUAUCGACCCCUUCUGUGCCGCAGUUAACACAAUAAGCAUUCCGCCUGGGGAGUACGACCGCAAGGUUGAAACUCAAAGGAAUUGGCGGGG
rnacentral:rRNA from 1 species